GCCGCAGCUGUGACAGGCUGGAGGAUGUCUCCUUGUGUGUGGAGCCCGUGGGUCCCUGGAUGAUUCCCUCCCUAUAACCAGGCAGGCGGCCACGGAGGUCAGAAGGCUGGCGUCCUGCAGGAACAACUCCCCAUCAUGUAUACAAGAAAAAAGAAAAUGUUUUUGACUUAAACACCCACACAAAAGCAAAAUAUAAGCCUGCCAGCAAAGAAACACUAAUCAAUGUCAGUGGUUUAUUCACGAACAGUUAAUCACAAGCAGUUUGCCAGUGCUGGCGAUACUCAUGAUCAUUAUCAUCUGCUAUUUGCACUGACUCCUGACCACCAACAAAUA